GCGAAUGCUGACAUAAGUAACGAUAAAGCGGGUGAAAAGCCCGCUCGCCGGAAGACCAAGGGUUCCUGUCCAACGUUAAUCGGGGCAGGGUGAGUCGACCCCUAAGGCGAGGCCGAAAGGCGUAGUCGAUGGGAAACAGGUUAAUAUUCCUGUACUUGGUGUUACUGCGAAGGGGGGACGGAGAAGGCUAUGUUGGCCGGGCGACGGUUGUCCCGGUUUAAGCGUGUAGGCUGGUUUUCCAGGCAAAUCCGGAAAACCAAGGCUGAGGCGUGAUGACGAGGCACUACGGUGCUGAAGCGACAAAUGCCCUGCUUCCAGGAAAAGCCUCUAAGCAUCAGGUAACAUCAAAUCGUACCCCAAACCGACACAGGUGGUCAGGUAGAGAAUACCAAGGCGCUUGAGAGAACUCGGGUGAAGGAACUAGGCAAAAUGGUGCCGUAACUUCGGGAGAAGGCACGCUGAUAUGUAGGUGAAGCGACUUGCUCGUGGAGCUGAAAUCAGUCGAAGAUACCAGCUGGCUGCAACUGUUUAUUAAAAACACAGCACUGUGCAAACACGAAAGUGGACGUAUACGGUGUGACGCCUGCCCGGUGCCGGAAGGUUAAUUGAUGGGGUUAGCGGCAACGCGAAGCUCUUGAUCGAAGCCCCGGUAAACGGCGGCCGUAACUAUAACGGUCCUAAGGUAGCGAAAUUCCUUGUCGGGUAAGUUCCGACCUGCACGAAUGGCGUAAUGAUGGCCAGGCUGUCUCCACCCGAGACUCAGUGAAAUUGAACUCGCUGUGAAGAUGCAGUGUACCCGCGGCAAGACGGAAAGACCCCGUGAACCUUUACUAUAGCUUGACACUGAACAUUGAGCCUUGAUGUGUAGGAUAGGUGGGAGGCUUUGAAGUGUGGACGCCAGUCUGCAUGGAGCCGACCUUGAAAUACCACCCUUUAAUGUUUGAUGUUCUAACGUUGGCCCCUAAUCGGGGUUGCGGACAGUGUCUGGUGGGUAGUUUGACUGGGGCGGUCUCCUCCUAAAGAGUAACGGAGGAGCACGAAGGUUGGCUAAUCCUGGUCGGACAUCAGGAGGUUAGUGCAAUGGCAUAAGCCAGCUUGACUGCGAGCGUGACGGCGCGAGCAGGUGCGAAAGCAGGUCAUAGUGAUCCGGUGGUUCUGAAUGGAAGGGCCAUCGCUCAACGGAUAAAAGGUACUCCGGGGAUAACAGGCUGAUACCGCCCAAGAGUUCAUAUCGACGGCGGUGUUUGGCACCUCGAUGUCGGCUCAUCACAUCCUGGGGCUGAAGUAGGUCCCAAGGGUAUGGCUGUUCGCCAUUUAAAGUGGUACGCGAGCUGGGUUUAGAACGUCGUGAGACAGUUCGGUCCCUAUCUGCCGUGGGCGCUGGAGAACUGAGGGGGGCUGCUCCUAGUACGAGAGGACCGGAGUGGACGCAUCACUGGUGUUCGGGUUGUCAUGCCAAUGGCACUGCCCGGUAGCUAAAUGCGGAAGAGAUAAGUGCUGAAAGCAUCUAAGCACGAAACUUGCCCCGAGAUGAGUUCUCCCUGAGACUUAGAGUC
rnacentral:rRNA from 1 species